AUGGCGCGGCAUCCAACGGCACCACGUAGUUGCCAGUCGAGGCCGCCGCGGCGAGCACCACCCUGCCCCUCCUCUGCCACUCCGGCGCCACGGACAUGCGCACGCGGCUACGGCGGAAGCCGCGAGGGGAGCGGCGAGGAGGCAAGGGUCCGCGCGAGGGAGGCGGCGGCGGUGGCUUCCAUGGGGAUCGGAGCGGAGGAAGGUGGGAGCUUGGGGGAGUGUUGCGCGCAGCCGGUGCUUGCCGAAACUGGCCUGCAUGGGUGGUGGCGGCGGCGAGGAGAUUGUGGGGAGAGGAGCAGGUGA
rnacentral:rRNA from 1 species